UUUUUUUUUUUUUGAGACAGUCUCACUGUAGGUAAGAUCUGACUGGCCUGAAACUCACUAUGUAGACAGAGAUCUUCCUGCCUCUGCCUCCUGAGUGAUGGGAUUAAAAGCCUUGCCACCACAGCUGGCCUGCUGUGCCAUAAAUAUUUUCUAACUUUCUAACACAUAUUCAGGACAGGGUUGUUUUGGCAAAUGUAUGCCCAGUUAGCAUCACUAAAUCAUGUAUGAGGAACUGACAGAAUGUUUGUGUUCUGUCUACUAAAAACAACCCCAAAACAAAAACAAAACAGAACAAGAAAACCCACCAUUAACCUAUUCAUUAGGACCCUGAGUAGCAUUGAGUAGUAUGUAUCAGACACGCAAGUAACAUUACACACAAGAAAUGGCACUUUAUCCCAUUAUCCUGGUGCCCAUGGGGUCCAGGAGUCCACAUGUAUCCACGACGGGCUUAGGACUAGAAAUACCUAGAAUCUGAGCUCUGCCUCUGGGUUUCUGCAAGCAUCUGCUUUUCUGCUCACACAGCACUCUGACAACAGCCCCUACAAGUGUGACUUUAUAUCGUCUUUGUUCAAGGGAUCAGCCAGAUUCAGUGUGUUAGGAUUGUUUUCCUUCUGCAAAGAACACCACCAAAAACAACUCAAAGGGCUUAAUCUAAUUAAAGAAUUUAAUGGCUCACACAGUGGAAAAUUCUAGGUUGGCUGGAUCCAGGUGGUUAGAGGUCACUAACAGGAGCUGCCUCUCCCUCUGUCAGGACUGAAAAAGUGCCCUUUUUUGUUUAAUGUUGCUAGAGCGUCAGAUACAUACAACCCAGGAUCCCAAUGAAUAGGUGAAUGAAUGUGUGUGAGUGUGUGUGUGUGUGUGUGUGUGUGUGUGUGUGUGUGUGUGUGUAAGUAAAUCAUGUAGACAGAACGUCAACAUUCUCAGUCCUCUAACCAGUUUUCCCUGGCUCAGUUCUCUUGGACCAGAUAACUAACUGGCUGGAUUCAAGGUCCUCUCCUUCACCAACAGCCUGGUUUUCUGAGAAUGUCGAAAAGCCACAGAAUGGGCUCUGGUCAAGCUUUGGCUCAGCCACAUUUUCACUUCUAGUCCAUGUGGACUUCAGAUGGAAGGAUGUGCCCAGAGGCCAGGCCCAGGCCCCACCUUAGAACUGGAUCCUAAGAUAGCACACCCCAAAUAUACAACAGUAACAGCAAUUGUUAUGUGCUGUGUCCUGUCUGGGGGAAGAAUUCUAAGUAGGAACUCAGUUUCUUCCUCAUUUUGUAAUGGUCAUCUCUUUAUCCUUAUUUGAUAGAUGGAAAGCAGAACUAAAUCCUCACAACUAAUAGUCUCCAACUUAUAAUAGUCUGACCUUAAUGACAGUGUGAAAAUGACGUGCAUUUAAUAGAAACCAUACUUUGAGCUUGGAGCUUUUCCCAGGCUGGUGAUAGAUGCAGCAGGAACCUCCCUUGGAAUGCUGAACAGUGCACCAAGCUACAGCUUCCAGUCAGCAGCACAGAGGGCUGUCUGCAGCAGUCUGUGUUGCUAAGCUGCUCGCUGCUCCUUAGGUGCAGUGUAUUCUGCGCAUUCUCAACUCAGUAUUGUUUUACUGGCAAUGAGCUGAGCCGAUUCAGAACUUGGACCCCAGAAGCUGGACUUUUGACCAUCCGUAGGAGAGACCUGCUCCAGGAAAAUAGGAAAUAGACCGUAGGCAGGCAGCAAAAGCAAAUGCCCACAGCAACUCUGACUCCUUCUCUGUAAAGCCUUAGGCUGGACUUCCAGCUUGGUCAGACGUGAGAAGAAGAGUAAGGAAUCAGGUUGUAGCAAGGUGACUGCUGCUUCUGUGACCUCAAACAUGGACAAAUUCCAGAAAACAGGAAGGACAGAAGAAGUGUCCUUCUCUGCGAUUCUUCUUGAAGGUGCUGCGUGAUGGCAGUAGGCAGUUCUUGUUUUGUUGAUGAAGAGGUGUUGCAGGGUAGAGCUGGGGGCAGGGAUGGGUCAGUGGGUAAGCCACUUGCUAUGUAAGUGAGGGCCUGAGUUGGGCCCAUGGUCCCCAGGACUAGUAAGGCCAUGUGUUUAUACCUCAGUGUUCUUACAGUGAUCUAGAAGACAGGAGGCCUCUCAAAGCCUGAAGGCUAGCUGACCUGGCAUGGGCAGCUGUGGACAACAAUGACAUCCUGAUCCAAAUGAGGGCUGCACCCAGGGUUUUCCUUUGACUUCCACUGAGGUGCCAUGGCACACACGCAGCUGUACAUACACAUACCCCGCCCCCCCAAUCUCCCUCUCUCCCCCCACCCACACACACGGGGGCGAGGAGCAAAUGAGCAAGAGAGCUAGAUUUAUUGCAGCAGGGAGGGAACUUCCCACCUAUCUAUAUUUAAUAAUCGUGUCUUUGAACAAGCUGACAGUAGACUGUAACAGAAGGAAAGGCGAUUCCAUUUUAUGCAUGGGUGAACCAGAGGAAAGGAAAAUGAAUACCCCUAAGCCUUCAUGAGAUCUGGAAACUUAGAGAGGAUCCUGGACUACAGAGAGCAACAGGAGCAUGGGCCUCCUUGAGGAAGGUGUUGAGAGCAAGCUGUGAGAGGAAGGAGGGAAAGUCUGAGAAUAUUUUGGUGAGCCCCAAAAGCUCCUGGGUAAGGAAAAUUGCUCAUAGCGACAGAAACCAUCUGAACAUGACAAUGACCUCCUAUGGUUCUGCCUCCUCUAGUUGAGGAGCUUCACAAGAGAGAGCAUAUAUGACAAUCAGUUUCUUUUCUGGAAGCUAUCCAAAGAGAUGAAGCAAACUCAAGAGAAAGCCCCUAGUAACAUCCAUAGAAAAUAGCAUCCCCAGCCUCUGCACUUCAGUGUGGCAUUCCCUGAACUCCUUCACUGUCAGCUAACUACCUCUGGCCUAUUUGUAUGUAGCCUACCCUGAGUAUGCAGGAAGGCAGCCAGCCAUCACUCUGUGAAGGGGCACAGGGAGGCUACAUGUCUGAAGGGAACCAAGCUUGUUCCCUGUUUUGUCAUAUCCCAGGAAAGGACCACAGGAAGGAGCCCAGGGCAUCUUUCUAUAAGGAAAAAGCACAAUCGUUAUAUUUAGAUAUAUUUCCGAAUCACCCCAGACAAUGCAAAAAGUAGACCCUUUUGCAUAUCCUCAGAAAAACUGAAAGGAAGGCCAGGGUUGUUGGCUCACACAUCAACAUCUCAUUCAGCAAGCCGAGGCAGGAGGAUUGUCAUGAGUUUAAGACAAGGCCAAGCGGUAGAGCGAGAACCUGCCUGAAAGAAAACUGAACAACCAAAACCAAGGGAGGCUGCCAGUGAAGUGUCCUCUCUGUUCUUAGAGGUACAACGUGGUUAAGGAGUCGAGUCCUCUUAACUGACAAUGACACCUGGGAGUCAAGAGGACGAGGAAGAUCUUACAAGCCUUGAAGGUCUCCAAAAGAAUUCCUACCUUGCCAAACAGUCACACUAAAACAUGUACCUCAUUAAUUUUGUAUGAAUCUUUUGAGGGCACAUACAUGUUUACGGUAUGUGUGCUUUGUGCAUACAGGGGACUGAAGAGGACACUGGGUCCGUGGCACUUAGGUGGAGUCUUGGAUUUUUGUAAGCCAUCAUGUGGGUGCUGGGUUCUGAUCCUGCAUCCUUUGCAAGAGCAAAAGGCGCUCUCAACCACUAAGUCAUUUCUCCAGCCCCUCUACCUCACUCACAUUGGAAGUCUCCCAAGUUGUUAGCACCCCCCGUUGUGGUACCACCUAAGCAAUGCUGCAGCACGCUCUGUUCUCCACGAUUACAAAGGUUUCUUUCUCACUCCUGUUUCAGUUGUGAAGCUCCAACCGGGGACCUGGUGCUAAAGAGAGCCUGGAUGUUAAGACACAAGCCUUGGCUAGGCAUGGUGACACACAACCUGUAAUCUCAGCACUUGCCAGUCUGGGGCAGGUGCAUCUGAGUUUGAAGCCAACCUGGUACAUAUAUAGUGAGUUCCUGGGCAGACAAGGCUAUGUAGAGAAGAGAGAUCCUGUUUUAAACUAAACCAAACCAAAGCCCUGGGAUAGUGAGAAAGGAGCAACUACCCAGCUGCGAGGGGCUCUUUCACCCACGUUCUGAUGGUAAGAACAAUUUGUAUGGUCAAGUAUGAACUAAGGAUAGGAAAAUCCCUGGGCAUAUUAAAGACAGCCAUAUAGCAGGCUGAGCACUUAAAUAUGUACUCUAUCAAAUGCUCAUUACUCUCUCCCCCAAGGAUUAAACAAGUCUUUCUUCUCAGAUAUUUAGAGGCUCACCAGUGGUUUCUGUUUGUGCUCUCUUUAAUGUCUACACUGCUAUAGAUGUUGAUUUUCCUAAGCGGAUGUGUGCCCUUUCUAAGCAAGUCGGCAAUAAUUACAACUCUGGGAGCUAGGAGGGGCAAAAGGAACACGGUAAGUAAAUGUAAUGUUGCAAAUGCUCUUGUUGGCAGUGUGCUGGAGAGCUUGGGGGAAGUUUUAAAGUCAUAUACAUAUGUAUGCAAUCCUCCCCUGUGUGUGUAUACAUUUUCAGUGGAAAGAUGGAGAAUAGGGAGACAGAAUGGUUAGCUAGAUCCCAGGAAUCUGGGGAGGUCAACCCAUUUACAUUUUUGAAUGUUUUUCUGACCCAAAGUCUACACUUUCCUGUGCCUAGUUUAGGUCCCCAAAAGAAAGAAAUAAAACAGAAAACACACGGAAGAAAGGUAUUUCUUCUUCUAGUAACUACAUAUCAACGUGGUGUGGUCUUUUCACUUGUGCGUAUUCACUGAUGAAAUCGGAUUAGCUCUCUCUAGCGCAAAAACGUGAGCUUUAAUAAGAAAAGGAAAAGGGGAAGCUGAGAAGCCGAGAUAGCACAAAGCCAUGGAGCAAGUAAGGAGAAAACUUACUAAGAGAAAAAACGGAGGAAGAAAAGACCCAAACAGGAAACUCAGUAACUUGAGGAAAGGGCUCUUACUGGUCCCCAGUUUACUGCAGGCCACUUGUCCCCAGUCUCCCGCAGCUGGUGCUGGAAUGUGGAGGUCAGGCGCGCCCCCUGCCGGCCGGGAGAGGCGAGGGCGGUCGCGGCUCGGCAGGGUCCGGCACGCGGAGACCCUUGGGUGGCCAGGUCCGGGGAUGGAGUUUGCAGCCGAGGCUGCCGGCCAGGAUUUAGAAAGGCGUCCAUUUCGGCCAGCAGAGUGGCGGCGUGGAGCGACGCGAGCGCCCGAGCGCAUGUGGUCGGGCUCAAAACCCGGCCUGGGCGUCGCACGCCCACUCCCCAGCCGCGCCGUGGUUAGGGAUGCUCGGUAGUGUUCUCUCCCACUUCACUGCCACCAAACGCGGUGACUACGUUUAGUUCUCUACUUCGCUACGCAUCCUUGGGCGCCAACGUCGCCGACUAACUGUCCACUUUAAGGUCGGCCUUUCUCCCAUGCAAGGCACCCCACGCCCCUGUGCACUCGCCCUCCCUGGCGCCCCAAAACCGUAGGGCCUCACAGGAACUACACAGCACGGGCCAGGGGAAAGCGGCGGUACCGGGGAAGGGGACCGGAAACCCGCGUCUCUCUUCCCGGAACCAGCUUCCACCGCCUUCUGCCAAUCCAGCCUUUUAAGGAGGAGCUCCGCACAGCGACUGGGCAAGGCUGUGCGCUUGCGCGGCUCGGGUACCCUCCCGGAACCGUCUCAGCAGAGAUAGACAGAAGAAAUGGCCCUGGUACCCUAUGAGGAGAGCGCGGCAAUAGGGCUCCAGAAAUUCCAUAAGCCUCUCGCCACCUUCUCUUUUGCGAACCACACCAUCCAGAUCCGUCAGGACUGGAGGCAACUGGGAGUUGCUGCAGUGGUGUGGGAUGCGGCUGUCGUCCUUUCCAUGUAUCUGGAGAUGGGUGCUGUGGAGCUCAGGGGCUGCUCUGCUGUGGAGCUGGGUGCUGGCACAGGGCUGGUGGGCAUAGUGGCUGCCCUGCUGGUGCCGAGUUCUGUGUUGUUUUGUUCAGUCUUGAUUAGAGAGGCAGAGAUGGUGGACAUAAGCAUCUUAGAGCCGGAGAGAUGGCUCAGUGGUUAGGAACCCUGGCCGCUCUUCCAGAGGACCUGGGUUUGAUUCCAUCCCCCACGUGGCUGCUCAGAAAAGCCUGUAACUUCAGUGCCAGCGGAUCCAGCAUUCUCUUCUGGCUGUGUAGAAACUGUGUGCUCAGGUGACUAUCACGGAUCGGAAAGUAGCAUUAGAGUUUCUUAAGUCAAACGUUGAAGCCAACUUACCUCCCCAUAUCCAACCUAAGGCUGUUGUUAAGGAGCUGACUUGGGGACAAAAUUUGGAAAGUUUUUCACCUGGAGAAUUUGAUCUCAUACUUGGAGCUGAUGUCAUAUACUUAGAAGAUACCUUCACAGACCUUCUUCAAACACUGGGACAUCUCUGUAGCAACAAUUCUGUGAUUCUUUUAGCUUGCCGAAUCCGCUAUGAACGGGAUAGUAACUUCUUAACAAUGCUGGAGAGGCAAUUCACUGUGAGUAAGGUUCACUACGAUCCUGAGAAGGACGUACACAUUUACAAAGCACAGAAGAGAAACCAGAGGGAGGACUUGUAGCGGGCAGUAUUUUCUAAGAAUUGAAUGUACCAGGUAAGGUCUUACAGCUAGAACUCUUAGCCAUGUUAAUGACGUGGCUGACUGCAAGUCAGUCCGCUUAGAGCUGCUCAAGGAACAAAGCACAUGUGUACUUUGUAGUCGGUGCCUUGCCUCAUAGCUGUAACUGUCAGCCAGAUUGGCUCACUUCUGCAAGUGGACUUGUGAGGUCUGGCUGGUGUUUCGUUCUUAUCCUGUGUGCUCACUGGGUAAGCAGUCCCCACUGAUGGAGACUGGUGACCUGGAGAGUCAGUCAGACAUUCUGGGAUGGAUUUUGUCUCAGUUUCCUUGUCUGCUGAGUGUAAACAGAUUUAUUACAUAUAUUCCCUGAAAUGUGUGUACUGUUGGAGUCUCUUGUGUUUAGUCUUUUUUGUGUCGGCCGUGGGCUGGUCUGAAACCGCAGGCCAGGCUGACCUCAAGCUUGCAGUGACUGUCUUCCCUCUGCCGCCAACUGCUGGGAUUACAGGUGUGUGCCAUGCCACCUGGCUGACUGUUUAGUUCUUAAGCCCCUUGAGAUGAAGAUGAGUUCUCUGGGUCUCAUGUCAUACCUUUUUACCAGAUUUCAGGAGCAAGUAUAUAAGCAAUGAAAUAAAAAUAAAAUUUUACAUUUGAAAUUACCUAAACUUGUAGGUUAGAAAUUACUUCUAAAACCAUGCUUUUGUUUGUUUCAACUUUGCUGUUUCUCAGUUUUGCUGUAUCUAUUUCUUAGGGUUUUUUUUUUUUUCCUUCUAGUAUGUCAGUUUUUCAGAGUUCAAUCUCAUUUCUUCACAAAGGUCAGCUCCCAUGGUGCAGUCUGUAUUGUACCUAUAAUCACCCACUUGGUCUACAGCUCCUGGUGGGCUGCAAGCUGCGGGGAGGCCUUGUAGCUUUGCUUACCCAGGGUCCAGUAAAAACCAAGUAGUCAAGGAGAAUUUCAGUUAUAGGUAAUUGAUGUUUCGUGGUGUUAAGGAUCAAAACCAGGGUUUUACAGACCCUCGGCAAACAUUAGCCUUGAGUUAUUACGUCCCCAGCCAAAGGUUACUAGUUUUUUGUUUUCUCUGGGUAGACUUUAUGAAUAAUGUUAUCAGUACAAGCUUCUUCUUUUACAUUAAAGCUUGACUAAAAGCUUAAGCAGUUUAGAGCAUAGCUAUUAUAACUGCACAGUGGCAGUGGGUGAUAGAAAUUUGUUGAAUAGACUAUUCAAAGUAAGACCUUUUUUUAAAAAUUAUUAAAUAUUUUGGAUAUAAGAGUA